rnacentral:tRNA from 1 species
UUCCUUGUGGCCCAAUGGCAAGGCGUCCGCCUACGAUGAAUACGUUUGUAUGUAGCGGGAGAUUCCAGGUUCGACCCCUGGCAGGGAAG